AGCGGAGCGUUCCGUAAGCCUGCGAAGGGGGACCCGCGAGGGCCCCUGGAGGUAUCGGAAGUGCGAAUGCUGACAUGAGUAACGAUAAAGAGUGUGAAAGACACUCUCGCCGAAAGUCCAAGGGUUCCUGCUUAAAGUUAAUCUGCGCAGGGUCAGCCGGCCCCUAAGGCGAGGCCGAAAGGCGUAGUCGAUGGGAACCAGGUUAAUAUUCCUGGGCCAGGAGGAUGUGACGGAUUGUGGCGGCGUGCGUGCCUUAUCGGAUUGGCGCGUAUCCAAGACAGUCCCAGGAAAUAGCCCUCCAUGAGAUCGUACCCUAAACCGACACAGGUGGACUGGUAGAGAAUACCAAGGCGCUUGAGAGAACUCGGGUAAAGGAACUAGGCAAAAUGGUGCCGUAACUUCGGGAGAAGGCACGCUGGUGGUAAGUGAAAUCCCUGCGGGUGGAGCUGAAGCCAGUCGAAGAUACCAGGCCCCUGCGACUGUUUAUUAAAAACACAGCACUGUGCAAACACGAAAGUGGACGUAUACGGUGUGACGCCUGCCCGGUGCCGGAAGGUUAAUUGAUGGGGUUAGCGUAAGCGAAGCUCUUGAUCGAAGCCCCGGUAAACGGCGGCCGUAACGAUAACGGUCCUAAGGUAGCGAAAUUCCUUGUCGGGUAAGUUCCGACCUGCACGAAUGGUGUAACCAUGGCCAUGCUGUCUCCACCCGAGACUCAGUGAAAUCGAAAUCGCAGUGAAGAUGCUGUGUACCCGCACCUAGACGGAAAGACCCCGUGAACCUUUACUACAGCUUGGCACUGAACAUUGACCCUACAUGUGUAGGAUAGGUGGGAGGCUUUGAAGCGUUGUCG
rnacentral:rRNA from 14 species